rnacentral:lncRNA from 1 species
CAGAAACUACCUGGGCUCGGCCGACCUGUUGCCUCAUAUUGGCCAAAGAGGGGGAAACCAGAAGGAGGGAAUUCUGCUGCGGCGACUUGACUUUCCAGGCCCGGAGCAGAAAGGUGCAUUGGCAUUUGUAGGCGGUGACCCGCCCCUUCUCUGGCCUUGCCAAGAGUCACAUCCCUGCCCAGGGGCACCUCUGGCCCUGGAACUUGCCUGGGCAGAGGCAGCGUGAAGGGCCUGAACAAGAGGAGAAGAAGGGCCUUCCUAGUAGAGGCACAGCAUGGACAAAGGCUCACAGGGGUGGGGGUGCCCAGUGAUCGAGUCCUGGCUUGGGAAGGAAGGUCUGAGUUCCCUGGGAACUGAAAUCUGCUAGCAGCACUGUGAGAGAGGUGUAUUUCCCCCUCCUAAUGACAGAGGAAACUGAGGCUUCAGGGAGGGGUGGAUUUGCCCUUGACAUGCAGAUAGGAGGAGGAGGAACUGCGUGUGCCCCUGGGCCUGCAGGCCCCCACACCCCUCCCCAGUCUUCUUCAAGACCUGGCAUGGUGGGAGGAGGGAGGGGGAAGUGGAGAGGGGAGCAUAGGGCUCCUGGGGCACCAAGGGAGAGAGGGGCCCAGGGGUAGGGAAUCUAGGAAUGUCGCUUUCCUUGGAGCAGUACGGAAAGUCACAGGGAAGAUCAGGAGGACGGACAGCUGAGAUGGGAGACAGGAGAGAUGAGCCCCAGGACCCCUGGGGAGCCAAGCUGUCCCCCACAUCCUAGCCUCUCACCCCACCUGGAGCUUCACCAAGGGCUCCUCAGCAGUGAAGUGGCACAAGCCUCCCAGUUUGGUGGGCAAGUGGGGGUGAUCUUGGUGUUGUGGCUCCUGGAGACACGACAUAACCAGGAGGGUGAAGGGAUAAACCUGGGGUGGGCUGGGGCUGAGACCCAUGGCAUGACCCCAAUUCUCUCUCCUCAAGCUCGACCCCCCAUCCCCAGGAUCACACAGGAGAAUCUCAUCCUCACGGCUUGGAUUGCUCCUGGGGGCCCCCUGGUGUGCUGCUAACUGGUGUACAAUGCUCAGGAGCAGCCCAGAGGGGAGCCGGGAAGGGACCCUCGCCCUUACCAUCUAUCCCCAUUUCCGCAUCUCUUGCACUGGUACCCCGGGCGCCACGUUCUCAGUUCCUGGGACUGAAAACUGCAGCAGUCUGGCCAGCUCCAGGGACAGAGUGGCCCAGCCACCUACUAUGUACCCUCCUCAGCUGCCCACUGGACUCAGGUCCUGAAUGAAGCUGUCCGCCUGCCUCAUGCCAGAAGCGGCUGGACAGUGGCUGCCUCAUGACCCUUGCAGUCUCCCACAUCCAGGGCCUGAUGACAUGCCCCCUUGUCCCAAGUUUCUUGGGAACCCCUGACCCUGCUGGCCCCUCUCAUCCACCCCAACCCUAUCCACCCUGGACCACCUCUGGGGGUCUGUCAGCCUGCUGGUCCCCCCAACAGAUCUUUGGGGGCAGCCUCUAUGGGACAAGAGUGACACAGGGCUGGAGAAGAGGAGUGAGGAGCCUCCUUGUGUCUGAUGCACAGAUGUGGCCCUUUCAAACCCUGGUGUCACCCUCUGGGUGACUGGAUCCCCAGCUCCAGCCUCUUCCUGGGCCAGCCAGGAAGGCUGGAGGAAAGCUCUUUGCUGAGUGCAUGCAUGGGAGUGUGGGGGGUGACUGAGCCCUCCCCAUGCAAGGGGCUUGGCCUGGGACCCUGGAAGCUGUUUCCCUACUGGGAUAAAGUUGCGUCAGCCGCAGGGGUCUCUGCCCUCAAAGACCCCCCACUGCAGGGAGCCCCACCCCAUAAGAGGGUCACGGAAGUCCAUGUCCGCCCACCCCCAGUGGCUUCUGGUGUGGCCGUAUUGGCCUAGAGGGGCUGACUGGGGAGGGUCAGGGCCAAGCCCUCAGCAUCUGCUCCUGUCCCUGCUUUUUCACCCCUGCUGCCUGAAGUGGUAGCCCCGCCUGCUGCUUCUCCACCUCCCCUCCCCACCUCUUCUCUCCCAGAUGGGGCCCUUGCUGCGUGACGGGGUCUCCAUGCGCUUUAUUUAUUUGCAGUCUGUUUUCUAGGCGGUGGAGCUAGACACUGACCGGAAUGACAUACUUUUCUGUGUGUGAUUCACUGUGUACUGGUCAGCACAGGCUGGCCAGAGAGCUGUUCUUGUUUCUGGUGUUGUCACGUCUUCUUGUUUUCUCUAAGUUUAAAAAAAAGUCCUUGGUUUAAUACACUAAAAUCCCAACUGGAGGCCUCCCGUGUCUGGUGGGGGUGAUGCAGUGGCCCCGGGUGGAGAGGCCCCAUGGUGAGGUCACCAGCUCCCAUGGCCAGGAGUUGGCAGGGAGAAGCCUCUGAGGGCUAGGGCUGGGGGAGGCUGUGGCAGGGACCGUGUUUCCUGUUCAGAGGCUGUGCUGAGAACCGACUUGACCUGGACCACUGCCCCAUGAGAAGCAGGCAGCAUCCUAGCCUGGCCCCGAGAGGUAGCUGCUUGUUCUGUUGACAACCUUUGUUCAACGACCCAAAACAUAAGUCCCUUUCCUUUUUAGAGUCUGGCGAUCAAAAGUGUCUUAAGUCAGUAGAAUCCUGAGGGUGGACUAGGGUGAAGUGAACUGAAACAGACUCGACACAGGUCAUUUUGUGUAGCACUGAGACUCCUCUCCCUGCCUGAGGCCACCUCCCACUGCCUCCCUACCAGCAAGGUUACUGCAGAAUCUUGGAGAAGAUAAAGGACCUGGCCCUGGAAGCCUGCUUCCCUUUCCCAACCUUGGAAGCAAAUUCUGUCCCAUCAGAGCCCCCCUCCCUAGUGGCUCCCACCAGAGACCUCCCUAGUGGCUGCUGUAAGGGUUGGCAAGCAGGCAAAAGGCGGGGGAGGGAGGGCAGAGGGUAGUGUUAGAGGAAGCCCCAUAGGGCCCCUGGGUGGGGGUGGGGAGGCAUCCUGAGGACACAGGGCUAUGCUCAGACUUAGGAGUGAAGACUGGGUUUAGGGGCCCUGGGGGCACUCCUGUUGCCAAGGGCUACCCAGGGGUCAGAGCAUCCUGACAAGGAGGACCCGUCCAAACGCACUGGUGCUAAUGCCCUAUGGCAUCUGCCACCACAGGAGAAAUGGACCCCAGUCCUUGAUCUUCCCUCCCCUUUGUCUAGAUGGUCCUCUUUAUCCCCACUCCAGGGAUCACAUGACUUGGCAAAGCAAGAUGGGAAAUGAUCCUCCCAGAGCCUGGCUCCAAGGCUUCUUGAAGAGGGAGGAUCACCCCUCCCAUCCCUGCUACAGAGGAAAAGGCAGGAAGGCCGGUUCUGCUCCGAUGGGACUCCAGGAGACCAAAGCCCUGAGCCCUGAGCCCAGCUCUUCCACUUACUACUGUGUGGUGCCAGGCAAGCUGUGCACAACCUGGAGUUUUUAGUAAGGUUCCGUUGGGAUGCUUGUAAGCAGUGAAUACGAUGAUGUCUGUUCAUUGUUUGUCAUCAGGUCUCACCUGGAGCAGCCUUGUUACUGUGGGGAAAAGGAACCAAGUGAAGGGAAUCGGCCUCUGAUGAGAGCCUGCCAUGUGCCAGGCACCAUACUAGGUGCUUUGCAUUCCUAAUCUCAUCAUUAUCACACAACCACCUAACCAUUAUCCCUGUUUUACAGAGAAACCAAAGACAGGAACCAAGUCUGAAACAGAGCCCCAAGAAGAAGCUCUUUUCCUGAGCUACCAGUGCCCCUUGGAGAGGCAGGGAAUUGGGCUGGAAGAAUGGUGGAAUGGAAUAGCAAAGAUGGAAGAUGACCCUGUCCUUUCUGGGUGAGGUCCAGAAGAAAUCCAGGGCUUGGAUGAGGGGUAGACCUGAGAGCCUUCUCCAAAUGGAACUCCCCAGUGGGAGCAGCUGUGGCCACCCUGAGAUGGGUCUACCUGUCUUCCUUCCAUUCCACCUCCAGAGAUUGAUUGGGACCUAAGAGACUGAGUCAGGAGAGGGCAAGAAAGCAGCUAAGUGGGAAGUUUCAGGGGCACUAGAGCAAAUACAUUGAGAAAUGGGAAAUACAAACAGCAUGCAAAAUCACAUCCUACUCCUACCCACCCCACUCCCAAGGGAAAUUGCUGGGUUUUGGACGAAUUUUCACUUUGUGUGCACCUUUUAUGUAUGUAAAACUACAAACAUACUACUUUGAAAUCUGAUUCCGCUAUUUCAUGUUUGUCUUACCAUGUUAUUAUGUAUUUUCCUACAUCCAAAGCUACCUAGUAUCUCUUUUGUAUGAAGGUUUCAUCAUGUAUCCCCCAGUGCCCUUUGGUUGUUUUUCUUUGUUGUCAUUUAUUUUGGUGGGGGUUGGUUUGCUUUUUGUUGUUGUUUUUCCUUGUUUUUAUAAAUGAUACAGUGACAGAUGCCGUUGUGGAUAAAUGCUGUGGCAUAGUCAUCAAUUCCUUGAUAUAUAUUCCUAGAAAGUGCACCAAAGGGUAUGCAUGGCUUAGGGCUUUUGAUACUCUCCAGAGUUGGGAUACCAAGUCACACUACUCACUGGAGUCAGGAUGAGAGUUUUUUG